AGAAAUCCCGUUUGAAUGAAAGGAAAAUUCGAUGGAUCUCUGAAAAGGAAUUGACGGUAAAAAGGAUCUAGUCCGGACGGGUGAUCCUAUCCUGAUAUAGCCCUCUCGAAGAAUAUGUGUAAAAUGGAUUUAGCCCAGACGGGUAAUCCGAAUUAGGGUCUGAAUUUAGCUUGGACUGGUAAUUCAGAUCCAAGCUCAUUAGAGUAAUUGUCGUUGCAGGGGAUUUAGCCUGGACUGGUAAUCCCG
rnacentral:lncRNA from 1 species